rnacentral:rRNA from 1 species
UCUAAUGCCGCAUAUGAUCUUCGGAUUAAAGGAUUUAUCCGCUUUGGGAGUGGCCUGCGUAUGAUUAGAUAGUUGGUGAGGUAAUGGUUCACCAAGUCUACGAUCAUUAACUGGUCUGAGAGAAUGAUCAGUCAGACUGGAACUGAGACACGGUCCAGACUCCUACGGGAGGCAGCAGUGAGGAAUCUUCCACAAUGGGCGAAAGCCUGAUGGAGCGACGCCGCGUGCAGGAUGAAGGCCUUCGGGUUGUAAACUGCUUUUAUAAGUGAAGAAUAUGACGGUAACUUAUGAAUAAGCACCGGCUAACUACGUGCCAGCAGCCGCGGUCAUACGUAGGGUGCAAGCAUUAUCCGGAGUGAC